GGACUACCGGGGUUUCUAAUCCUGUUUGCUCCCCACGCUUUCGCACCUCAGCGUCAGUAUCGGCCCAGGUCUCCGCCUUCGCCACUGGUGUUCCUCCCGAUAUCUACGAAUUUCACCUCUACACCGGGAAUUCCGAGACCCUCUUCCGUACUCAAGCCUUUCAGUUUCGAAUGCACUUCCUCGGUUGAGCCGAGGGCUUUCACACCCGACUUAAAAGACCGCCUACGUGCGCUUUACGCCCAAUGAUUCCGAGCAACGUUUGCACCCUCCGUAUUACCGCGGCGGCUGGCAC
rnacentral:rRNA from 1 species